GGACAUAAGUCCAACGUCACUUCCUUUCAGUCACGGCUACUCCGAUAGAAACACGAGUGUCCGUUUGCUCUCUCUUUACUUGGACUUACUGAAUUUUCUGAAACCGAGAUAUACCACUCGGCUGGUAAACAUGAAACCCAUUCUACUUCAGGGCCACGAGAGGUCCAUCACUCAGCUCAAGUACAACAGAGAAGGGGACCUCAUCUUCUCCGUGGCUAAGGACACUGUUGCAAAUGUGUGGUACUCCGUGAACGGCGAGCGUCUGGGCACCUACAAUGGACACACAGGAGCGGUGUGGUGUGUCGACUGCGACUGGGACACCAAGAACGUGUUGACGGGUUCGGCAGACAACAGCUGUCGGCUGUGGGAUUGCGAGACGGGUAAACAGUUGGCCUUGGUCAAUACCAACUCUGCGGUCAGAACGUGUGGCUUCGACUUCAGUGGCAACAUCAUCAUGUUUUCCACGGACAAGCAGAUGGGCUACCAGUGCUUCCUCAACUUCUUCGACCUACGGGAUCCACAACAAAUUGCUGACAACCAGCCCUACCUGACCGUCCCGUGCAACGACCACAAGAUCACCAGCGCCGUGUGGGGGCCACUCGGCGAGUUUGUCAUCGCCGGGCACGAAAACGGCGAGAUUAACCAGUUCAGCGCCAAGUCAGGGGACAUCCUGAAGACAAUCAAGGAGCACAACAAGCAGAUCAAUGACAUCCAGACGUCAGUGGACCUUACCAUGGUCAUCACUGCAUCCAAGGACAACACUGCCAAGCUCUUUGAUUCGGCCUCCCUGGACCACAUCAAGACAUUCAGGACCGAGAGACCCGUCAACUCGGCCUCCAUCUCGCCUAUCAUGGACCACGUGGUGAUGGGCGGCGGUCAGGAGGCCAUGGAGGUGACCACCACCUCCACCAGGAUUGGCAAGUUUGAGGCCAGGUUCUUCCACGCCGCAUAUGAGGAGGAGUUUGGCAGAGUUAAGGGACAUUUCGGACCCAUCAACUGCGUGUCGUUCCACCCGGACGGCAAGAGUUACAGCAGUGGAGGAGAGGAUGGAUAUGUGAGGAUUCACUACUUUGACCCGCAGUACUUUGACUUUGAGCUGGAGGUGUGAAAAGCACGCGCACCAGCCGCUUUUUUGAGACUUGCAACAAUAGGGCAUCCAUCUUAAGAGUUGCACACGUACACACACAUCUGUUCCGACCACCUUCACUAAACAGUUCUGACUUGGAAGUUGCACCUGUGUGAUUUGUCCAAAAUUCAAA